AAGAUUUGGUGUAAGUCGACUGGUGUCAACAGAUCAAUUGUAAGUCGAAUGAUGUGAAUUGAAUUAUGAUUCUGCCGAACCUGGUAUCUUUGGAUUGAUGGAGUUGAAUGACCUUUUAGUAGGACACUUUCAUUGGCUAUUCCCUUCUUCUCUGUCGCCCAUGACCUUCUUCUCCAGGUGAAUGGGGGUGGUGACUUGUACAUGCUACGACGCUCAAAUCAGUGAAUGAUGUAGGAUGAUAGGUGUAUCUGACCCCGAGCGUAUGAGCCAUUAUUUAUAGUGGAGGUUUGGGUUUUUGCGCUUGCACCGUUACCUAGACACCUAUUGUGGAAGGACAAUCAUGGUCCUUUUAGGGAUAGUUGUAGUCUUUUGAAGGAUAGUUGUGAUUGUUUGCUCCUUGGAUUAUUUGUGCCAUGGACCAUGUUGGUUGUUCACCUUUGGUCUGUGUGCUUCUCUGCCACACACCAUGUUGGUUAUUCACAUUUGGUCCACGCACUCCCAUGCUAAGGACCAUGUCGGUUGUUCAUCUUUAGUUUGUGUACUUCUACGAGGAGUGCUUUGGAUUUUAAUAGUGGUCGGGCGUCAUCCCAUAUCAAAAUUAUUUUCCCCAAGCUAUUAGUUGAGGGACUCAAGUGAUAGCUUGUAUAUGAAGUUGAAUGGAAAACCUUUUGUAGUUGGGGUCCGUUUACGCAUUGUUC
rnacentral:lncRNA from 1 species